rnacentral:lncRNA from 1 species
GAGGAAAGUUCGACAAACGAUGGAAAGUCCAGGUGACGCGGCGUGUCUUGGCGUUGGUCUGGGCUGUCACGUACG